rnacentral:rRNA from 1 species
GUAGGUGGCAAGCGUUGUCCGGAAUUAUUGGGCGUAAAGCGCGCGCAGGCGGUUCUUUAAGUCUGAUGUGAAAGCCCACGGCUCAACCGUGGAGGGUCAUUGGAAACUGGAGAACUUGAGUACAGAAGAGGAAAGCGGAAUUCCACGUGUAGCGGUGAAAUGCGUAGAGAUGUGGAGGAACACCAGUGGCGAAGGCGGCUUUCUGGUCUGUAACUGACGCUGAGGCGCGAAAGCGUGGGGAGCAAACAGGGAUUAGAUACCCUGGUAGUCCACGCCGUAAACGAUGAGUGCUAGUGUUAGGGGGGUUUCCGCCCCCUUAGUGCUGCAGCUAACGCAUUAAGCACUCCGCCUGGGGAGUACGGCCGCAAGGCUG